rnacentral:rRNA from 1 species
CUACGGAUGGUGCGAGCGUUGUUCGGAAUUACUGGGCGUAAAGGGCGCGUAGGCGGCGAUGUAAGUCAAUUGUGAAAGUCCUCGGCUUAACCGGGGAAGUGCAUCUGAAACUGCAUUGCUUGAGUAUGGGAGAGGAAAGUGGAAUUCCCGGUGUAGAGGUGAAAUGCGUAGAGAUCGGGAGGAAUACCGGUGGCGAAGGCGACUUUCUGGACCAAUACUGACGCUGAGGCGCGAAAGCGUGGGGAGCAAACAGGAUUAGAAACCCCAGUAGUCC